UACGUAGGGGGCGAGCGUUGUCCGAAGUUACUGGGCGUAAAGCGCGCGUAGGCGGGGGGUUAAGUGAGAGGUGAAAGGCUGGGGCUCAACCUCAUGCAGUGCCUCUCAUACUGGCCUUCUUGAGGGCGGUAGGGAGAAGUGGAAUGGCUGGUGUAGCGGUGAAAUGCGUAGAUAUCAGUCGGAACACCGGUGGCGAAGGCGGCUUCUUGGGCUGUUCCUGACGCUGAUGCGCGAAAGCUGGGGGAGCGAACGGG
rnacentral:rRNA from 1 species